AGCAGCCGCGGUAAUUCCAGCUCCAAUAGCGUAUAUUAAAGUUGUUGCAGUUAAAAAGCUCGUAGUUGAAUUUCGGGGUUAGUAGGUUGGUCAUGCCUCCGGUAUGUACUGAUCUCACUGAUUCCUCCUUCCUGAUGAGCCGUAAUGCCAUUAAUUUGGUGUUGCGGGGAAUUUGGACUGUUACUUUGAAAAAAUUAGAGUGUUUAAAGCAAGCUAACGCUUGAAUACAUUAGCAUGGAAUAAUGAAAUAGGACGUUCGAUCCUAUUUUGUUGGUUUCUAGGAUUGACGUAAUGAUUAAUAGGGAUAGUUGGGGGCAUUAGUAUUCAAUUGUCAGAGGUGAAAUUCUUGGAUUUAUUGAAGACUAACUACUGCGAAAGCAUUUGCCAAGGAUGUUUUCAUUAAUCUAAGAACGAAAGUUAGAGGAUCGAAGACGAUCAGAUACCGUCGUAGUCUUAAACCAUAAACCUAUGCCGACUAGGGAUCGGAUGAUGUUAAUUUUUUAANGUACUCAUUCGGCGU
rnacentral:rRNA from 1 species